rnacentral:lncRNA from 1 species
GGUUGGCGCACAAGAGCUGAACUUCAAAAAUUUGCUUUAAAAAUUUAUAAUUUGCUCUGAUCAUUUUUCUUAUUUUUCUUUUCUGAAGCACUGGUAAAGUUUGAAGAUGAUCCCCGAUGAUGCACUGCACAAGUGCUCUGAAAUGCAUCUCCUCUGGAUGAGGGUGCCCUUUACUGAUUCAUUCUGGAAGCUCACUGGGCACUGAAGCACCUCCAGAGUAUUUCUGGAAAGAAAGCAAAUGCUCCAGCCUCUGGACACUGGGCCCUUAAAUUACCAAAAUAUGUAUCACUUUAUCUGAAAAGCACUUUGCCAAAAUCCUGGGCUAUGGUGAGGGCAUUUGGCACUGGAUUCAUUUCUGAUGAAGUUCUAGGAGCAGGCUGUAUGUUUGUGUUCAAUGUAUUGCCCUGGCCAGUUCCAUCCUGGCCCGCAGCUGCUGGGAUCGGGCUCUGCCAAAUUCCCGCCACCUUGGGCUUCAUUAGCACGUGAAAACAGAGCCCUCUUGGCUUGGUGUCUCCCUGAAAAACCAACCACCCAGCCUCCCUUCGGCCAGGGGACUGGGGGCACUCCACUUUAAAAGGACAGCAGUUCUCUAUGUUCAUUUUUUUUAUUGCUGCUCUUAAAAAGUUACCAGAGUGAAGGUUCCUGUUUACAGUGCUGGGGAGGAGCUCAGGAACUGCUCAUAAAGGGCCCACGAGCAGAGGCAGAUGAGGGACUCAGCAGAGAUGGGCUGAGGAAGAUUUUCAGGUGACAGUUGGAACUUUUUAAUCCAUGGUACUAAAAGAAAAGCCCUGGUCACCAAGCAACUGAAGUCAGAUAUGUAAAUUAUACAGCUGAUUUCCAGAGGUGGGCAGAUACCCCACAGUGCCCAGCAAAGUCCCAGAGAGAUGAGUGGUGAGAGGAGGAAAGGAUAAACCCCCACAUGGUGGUCUCAGCACUGUAAGAGCUUUCCACAUUAUCUGCAAUCACCAUGGAGAAAAUGGGUCUGGGUGUGCAUGGUUUCUGUAUAAAGAGUGCAUCUCCAGCACAUUCUGAAGAUGUGAGUGGUUGUGACCCUGCUGGUGUGGUGGGAAGGGCUCUUCUGCUGGAGCCAGUGGCUGGAAACAACCCUGGGGUUCCAUGGGCACAUCCCAGCCUGGCCACAGGCGUCACUAAUGCACUGCUCCAGUGGCCUUUCCUGGGGGACAAGGGCACUGGCACUUCAGGAACUGAAGCUGCUCCUCAAGGAACAGAAACUUCCUCUCCUCUCAGCUCUGCAGAAGAGUGAAAGUUCCUGGUUCAGGCCUUGGAAAUAAUGAGGUGAAAGAGACCCCAUUAAAACUUCCCCAAAACAGGAUGAGAUAUUCUCUUACAUGACUGGAAAAUGGGCAAGCACAGCCUGCCUGGACAGGCCCCUGCUCUCAAAGAGCCAUGGAAAGGCUCCUGGGUCACAGGAGAGCUGGGAAUUCAACAUGAACUAGCCUGCUGGGGUGCUGGGGAAAACCCUAAUCAGCCAAAAUGCAGCUAAAGACACUGAGCACACUGGAAAGGGUUUCUGCAGGUGCUUCUGCAGGGUUUUGUCCCCCCAACAGAAGCAGGCCCACGGCAGGAUGAGCUGCUGCAGAGAGCAGGAGGAGCAGCAGCUCCAGGCUCGGGGAGUGUGGGCUGCCUCAGGCUCCAACCCAAACUGUUUGUGCUGGAAGGAGCUCAGGUUCAGUCCAUCAGUGCCUCACCUUGCUGGGCACACAGCUCUUUGUUUAGAAACCUAAACAUAGAACCAGGGCCCAGCUUCAGAUAAUCAGAAUUUUACCCUCUCUACAAAUACCUUCCAAAACACAAGUUACCACCCUGGGACCAAUAGUUGGGUUUUGUUUGUUUGUUUAUUUGUUUUGGGGUUUUUUGUUUUGUUUUUUUGUUUAACCCCAACUCUGAUUAAUUGACUGAAAAGAUUCUCAGUACCUUUGCCAUUAAUUAAAAAAUAAACAUCUUGUCACCCUCUCCUAAGGAAAAACG